AUAACAAGCUACAAAGGGCAUACGGUGGAUACCUUGGCACCAGCAGUCGACGAAGGACGUAGUAAGCUACGAAAAGUCGCGGUGAGCUGCUAACGAGCUACGACCCGCGAGUUUCCGAAUGGGGAAACCCGUUUCGAUUAAUCUCGAAACAUUGCUAGUUGAAUUCAUAGGUUAGCAAAGAUAAGUCAGUGAAUUGAAACAUCUUAGUAACUGGAAGAAAAUAAAACAAAUCAGUGAUUCCCAAAGUAGCGGCGAGUGAAAUGGGAAUAGCCUAAACCGAUUAGCUUGCUAGUCGGGGUUGUAGGGCUGCAUUUAGUACUUGCAAAAGUAAUUGAACAAAGCUGAAAAGCUUGACCAAAGAAGGUGAUAGUCCUGUAAAUAAAACUUAAGCAAGGCGAGCAGUACCCUGAGUAAAUCGGGACACGGGAAAUCCUGAUUGAAGCUACCAGGACCAUCUUGGUAAGGCUAAAUACUGACUGGUGACCGAUAGCGUACAAGUACAGCGAUGGAAAGGUGAAAAGAACCCCGGAAGGGGAGUGAAAUAGAACAUGAAACCGUAUGCUUACAAGCAGUCAGAGCUCCUUCGUGGAGUGAUGGCGUGCCUGUUGAAGAAUGAGCCGGCGAGUUAGUGUGUCUAGUUGGUUAAGGAGUAAUAUCUGGAGCCAUAGCGAAAGCGAGUCUGAAUAGGGCGUUUAUAAUUAGACAUAUUAGACCCGAACCUUGGUGAUCUAACCAUGACCAGGUUGAAGCGCAAGUAACAUUGCGUGGAGGACCGAACCAAUUAGUGUUGAAAAACUACUGGAUGAGUUGUGGUUAGGGGUGAAAUGCCAAUCGAACCAAGAGCUAGCUGGUUCUCCCCGAAAUGUAUUGAGGUACAGGGUUAGGUUAAAGCUUAAUGGAGGUAGAGCACUAGUUCGGUAAGGGAGAUGAAUAAUCUUACCAAAUCGAGUUAAACUCCGAAUGCCAUUGUAGUGAUACCUAGCACUGAGACGGUGGGUGAUAAGAUUCAUCGUCAAGAGGGUAACAGCCCAGACCACCAUCUAAGGUCCCUAAGUUAAUGCUAAGUGACAAAGGAGGUGGGAUUACUUAGACAACCAGGAGGUUGGCUUAGAAGCAGCCACCCUUAAAAGAGUGCGUAACAGCUCACUGGUCAAGUGAUUCUGCGCCGAAAAUGUCUGGGGCUAAAGCAUUACACCGAAGUUGUGGGAUUAUAUUUUUUAAAUAUAAUCGGUAGGGGAGCGUUGUAUAUUAGGAUGAAGCUCAAUUGGAAAAUUGGGUGGACAAAAUACAAGUGAGAAUGUCGGCUUGAGUAGCGAAAACAUUGGUGAGAAUCCAAUGCACCGAAAGCCUAAGGAUUCCCACGGAAGGUUCGUCCGCGUGGGGUUAGUCGGGGCCUAAGCUGAGGCUGAAAAGCGUAGGUGAUGGAUAGCAGGUUGAUAUUCCUGCACUAUCAAAUAAUCGUUAUAGAAAUAUUGGGAAGUAGAAGGUUAGAUUACGGCGGUUAAUGGAUUCCGCUCUAAACGUGUAGGUAGUCACUGCUGGCAAAUCCGCAGUGGCGCUAUGACCUGAGACGUUAUGGUAAUUGUCUACGGACAAGAAGUAAUUUACACCACGCUAACGAGAAAAACAGUGUUUCAAGAUUAUUUGGUACCCGUACCAGAAACCGACACAGGUAGGCUGGUAGAGAAUACUAAGGUGCGCGAGAUAACUCUCUCUAAGGAACUCGGCAAAAUGCCCUCGUAAGUUUGCAAGAAGAGGGACUGUACAAUGUGUAGGAAGUUUACUUUCUGAAGCAAUGUACAGUGACACAAGGCAGACCCAAGCGACUGUUUACCAAAAACACAGGUCUCUGCUAACACGUAAGUGGAUGUAUAGAGGCUGACGCCUGCCCAGUGCUGGAAGGUCAAGGAAGUUGGUUAGUCCGCUUCGGCGGACAAAGCUAGCGACCAAAGCCCCAGUGAACGGCGGCCGUAACUAUAACGGUUAUUUAGCUACAAAAAUGGCCGUUAAAAAAUCUGGCUAUAUGCUGGAACAACUCAGUUAUUUUAUGUUACCGAGGAGGUGAUAAUACAUGAAUAGAGUCAAUCAGCAGGAAAGACUAUCUAUUGAAGAAGCUAAAAAAUGGUACCUAGCAGGUUUCAUUGAAGGUGAAGGUAGUUUAUGCGUUUCAAUUAAAAAUAUGCCAAACAACAAAUUUGGUUUUCUUGUAGAUCCUGAAUUUUUCUUAUAUCAACACAAAAGUGGAAUUGCACAAUUACACCUUGCAAGAGAAAUAUUCGGAACUGGAAGAAUAGUACCAAAGGUUGGCAAUGAAGAUGUUCUAGUCUACUCGAUAAUGUGUAGGCGUACUAUAAGAGAAAAGGUGAUUCCUUUUUUUGAAAAGUAUAUGAUCUUUUCUUCCAAGCGUGAGGUUUUUAAGCGCUUUAAAGAAAUUGUAAUUGCAAUGGAAGAUCGAAAAGAGCAUCUUACUCCAGGCGGAUUGGUCCGUUUGGUAAAGGAAGCAUAUGAAAUGAAUCCCGCAAGUAAAGGGAAAGAACGCAAACGAACACUAGAAGAAGUAACAGAUAGAAUCCUCAGAGACUAUAUGCCGGACAUCAGUUGUAUUGAUGAAGAUAUAGUCCGAUCUUCAUGGCGACAUGAAGCUAACACAAAUGCCUAAGGUAGCGAAAUUCCUUGUCGGGUAAGUUCCGACCCGCACGAAUGGCGUAACGAUUUGGGUGCUGUCUCAGAGAGGGACUCGGCGAAAUAGAUUUAUCUGUGAAGAAGCGGAUUUGGUGUGCCAGGACAGAAAGACCCUAUUGAGCUUUACUGUAGGCUGGAAUUGGCCGCGGGCGUUGGAUACGUAGCAUAGUUGGAAGACUUUGAAGCCUUGCUUCUGGGUGAGGCGGAGUCAACAGUGAAAUACCAAUUUUCUUGCACCUGCGUUCUAACCGAACACUGUUAUCCAGUGUCGGGAAAGUUCCUGUUGGGCAGUUUGACUGGGGCGGUCACCUCCUAAAAUGUAACGGAGGUGCGCAAUGGUUCCCUCAGGUUGGUCGGAAAUCAACCGUUGAGUGCAAAAGCAUAAGGGAGCUUGACAGCGAGACAGACAUGUCGAGCUGGUACGAAAGUAGGCUUUAGUGAUCCGGUGGUACCACAUGGAAGGGCCAUCGCUCAUCGGAUAAAAGUUACCAUAGGGAUAACAGGCUGAUCUCCCCCAAGAGUCCACAUCGACGGGGAGGUUUGGCACCUCGAUGUCGGCUCGUCGCAUCCUGGGGCGGUAGUACGUCCCAAGGGUUGGGCUGUUCGCCCAUUAAAGCGGCACGUGAGCUGGGUUCAGAACGUAGAAAAAAAGAGAUACUGUCAUCUCAACACUGCGUCUCUUCAGCCAAAGGCUGAUCCGCCUCCGGCGGAAAGAAGUAAUUCUUAGAUGUAAAUUGGCUUAUAUCGGUGAAGCCUAAGUAGAGUUAAAAUACUCUAUAAGGUAAUACCGAGGGAAGGCUGGAUAGUUGACUAAAAGUAAUCAAGAGUGAUCUUGGUUGUCAGAUCAAUUUAGAUCAAAAUUAUCCUUGCCCCUGUAACGACUGAGGAAAUGGGUAAAACCCCAAAGUACAAGGUGGUGCUAUUAAAAGCACUACAAUACGCCAACUCCUGUUUGCUUUAUAACAGGAAGGAGAUAUAGUCUAUGCCACUAGAAAUAGUGGAAGUAUCCAGUCUUUUUAAAGAAAGAACUGGAGAAAUCAACAUGCGUGAGACAGUUCGGUCCAUAUCCGGCAUACCCGUAAGAUAUUUGAGAGGAGACUUCCUUAGUACGAGAGGACCGGGAAGUACAGACCUCUGGUUUACCAGUUGUCACGCCAGUGGCAUACGCUGGGUAGCCAUGUCUGGAGAGGAUAAGUGCUGAAAGCAUAUAAGUACGAAGCCCACCUCAAGAUGAGAUAUCUCAUACUGUUAAGGUAGUAAGAUCUGCCAAAGAUUAUGGCGUUGAUAGGCAGCAGGUGUAAGUGUAGCGAUACACUAAGCCAAGCUGUACUAAUAGAUCGAGGGCUUGUUUU
rnacentral:rRNA from 1 species